rnacentral:rRNA from 1 species
GACGAACGCUGGCGGCAGGCCUAACACAUGCAAGUCGAACGAGUGCCGCACGCGUGAGUAAUGUCUGUGAAACUGUCCGAUGUAGGGGGAUAACUACUGGAAACGGGAUCUAAUACCGCAUACCAUCUGAUGUGCCCAGAUGUGAUUAGCUCGUAUGUGGGGUAACGGCGCACCUAGGCGCCGAUCCCUAGCUGGUCUGAGAGGAUGACCAGCCACACUGGGACUGAGACACGGCCCAGACUCCUACGGGAGGCAGCAGUGGAGAAUAUUGCACAAUGGGCGCAAGCCUGAUGCAGCCAUGCCGCGUGUAUGAAGAAGGCCUUAGGGUUGUAAAGUACUUUCAGCGAGGAGGCGUUACUCGCAGAAGAAGCACCGGCUAACUCCGUGCCAGCAGCCGCGGUAAUUC